CCGCCAUAUUAAAAAUACUGAAAUCUGCUAGGCGUUCUGAAGCACCUUUAGCGGUGACGUCACACCUAGGUCUCAGUCUCGUACCACAUCCACGUUUUUUCUCGCGCUUGCUUCAGAACGACUGCAUGGGACUAGGCUGGUUAAAAUGGAUUUUAGUGAUUUGAUAAAACAACAUACAACGUCUUAACAUUAACAUUAACGUUAGCAUUAGUUCUUUUCCGUUUCUUAUUUAGACAUUUAGGUUGGAAGAUACAAUAAUUCACUUUUCCCAGUAUGGAUGGAUAGACAAAUUCUCCUGAAUUUCCGACAGAAUCUUCUAAAUUUUCGACGACCCAACCGAGUUGAGCAUCAAGAGUAAGAACACGAUAUUAUUUUCAUAUCACGCCUGUCAUUGCUUUAAGACAACGUAGCUAAUAAACUACCCUUUUAAUAAACUAAAAUUUUCUAAAUGCAGCUUCAAUAAAAACUGUGCUAUUGUUACUAGAUUAUGUCUUAUAUGAAAUUACCUAUUCAACAGUUUACCACAGUAGAUUAUACAAAGAAAAUUAUUGUUCAUUCAACGUUAUUCUACUAUUGACUAACUUGUCGGCGUUGCGUCCGAUACAAUUUGUUUUUUAUUCUGUAAUUCCUUUUGCAGCAAGCUCUUCCUGUACUCUCUUCAGGUAUUUUGGGUCUGGAUAACCAAAGC